rnacentral:rRNA from 1 species
GACGAACGCUGGCGGCGUGCCUAAUACAUGCAAGUAGAACGCUGAAGGGGGAGCUUGCUCUUCUGGAUGAGUUGCGAACGGGUGAGUAACGCGUAGGUAACCUGCCUGGUAGCGGGGGAUAACUAUUGGAAACGAUAGCUAAUACCGCAUAACAGUAGAUGUUGCAUGACAUUUACUUAAAAGGUGCAAUUGCAUCACUACCAGAUGGACCUGCGUUGUAUUAGCUAGUUGGUGGGGUAACGGCUCACCAAGGCGACGAUACAUAGCCGACCUGAGAGGGUGAUCGGCCACACUGGGACUGAGACACGGCCCAGACUCCUACGGGAGGCAGCAGUAGGGAAUCUUCGGCAAUGGACGGAAGUCUGACCGAGCAACGCCGCGUGAGUGAAGAAGGUUUUCGGAUCGUAAAGCUCUGUUGUAAGAGAGGAACGAGUGUGAGAGUGGAAAGUUCACACUGUGACGGUAUCUUACCAGAAAGGGACGGCUAACUACGUG